rnacentral:lncRNA from 1 species
GAAGAGUACAAUAGCAUAUUAAGUAUGGGAAAACCCUUACUAAUUCAUUUGUUUGAACAAAUAAGUAUAUGCAAAAAAUUUAAUGAAAAACUUCACAAGUAUAUACAAAAAAAAAGAAAAAAAACGUAGUAAUUAAAAAAGAAAAAAUAUAUACAAAUGUAUAUAUAUAUAUAUAUAUAUAUAUAUAUAUGCAUUGGGGGGUAUAAGUAGGAAAUAUAUAUUUUUUUAAAAGUGUAUGUGUACACACAAAUAAUAAGGAUAUGCCCCAAUUAUAUUACCAGGAGUCUUAAUUUUGUAUUUUUGUUCUAUUUGUGAUAUAUUUGUAAUAUACCUAUUUAAUUCAUUCUCUUUUUUUUUUUUUGUUUAUUAUUAUACGCUUCUUAUAAAAAUCAACUUUUUAUUAUUUAUUAAAAAUACGGUGAAGUUUGUUUUUUUUUUUUUUUAUUCAACUAAAUAAAACGAAACAAUAAAAAAUGGUAAGGUGUAGGUAAGGUUGGUAAACGUUUUUUGAACAAAUAGUCAAAGUAAGAUAAAAAAAAAAAAUAAAAAAAACAGCUUUCCUUUUUUAUCGGUUAUAUUUUAAAAAUAACAAUGUUUAUUAUAUAUAAUGUAGGAAAAAAAAAAAAAAAAAAAAAAAAAAAGAGCUUUACAAAAAUCACUAAAAAUAAUAUUUAAACAAAUAUAUUUUGCUAAAAAACAAGAAUAUAAAAAUGGGUAUAUAUAUAUAUAUAUAUAAACAUGCAUGUAUAGAUAUGUGCAUAAACAUACACGUAUGGUAUCAUGUGCACCUUUUGUCCGUAUGUAUUUGCUUGUUUUGUCACAUUUUUUUUUUUUUUUUUUUUUUUUUUUUUUUUUUUUUUUUCUUUUUUUUUUAUUAAUAUUAUUAUUACUUUCUGUAUUGUACCAUUCUUUUUUGUUUCUUGUUUUUUUAUCAUUACUAUUGUUAUACUUUGUUACAGUAGUAGUGUCAUUUUUGUUAAAAUAUUCAUCAUGCGAUUCGUCAUCUUCAUCAUAUUUUACAUUAACUUCAAAUGAGUGUUUUUCAUCGUUAUAUUUUGGUAUUACAUGA